UUCCCCUCCCUCCACCGCGAUUUCUGCCUGCACUCCCUCCACCGCGUGUUUACUCCGUCCCGCGAGAUGAUUCCGUGGACCACUUACUCGCUCCUCCUCGCUCCACGCCUCCACGCGUGUCCCCGCCGCAGCCGCACUACACCGCUGCCCCCGCCGGAGUCGAGGCCAUCACCAGCCGCUGCUUCCCCCGUCGGAGUCAAGGUCGUCACCAGCCGCCACUGCCCCGCUUGAGCCGAGGUCAUCCCCAGCCGCCGCCGCACUCCACCGCUGCCGCAAGCCGCCGCCGCCGAGUCAGUGGUCUCAGGUUUUAGGCAGGAGAAGGCGAUCUCAUAGCAAGGUGCAAUGGCAACAUCAUACCAUCCCUCGCAAUGCCUCUGGACUAAAGGCGAUGCUGCUGGAUACAUGUUCCUGUAUCCAUGUUGGAGGUUGAUUUCCUAUAAGUAGGUUAAUUACAUUGUUGAUGGAAUCUUCAUGGCAUCAGGUUCUACUUUGCAAAUUUACAAAUUAUUUUUUCCUCUAUAGUUCUGUCCCUAUGGACUGACAUAUAUUUUGUAUCUGAAAAUGCAUUUGGGGCUUGAUGUGGCCAUGCGGAUUCUUGAGUGAAAUAUCUAGCAAGUUCCAUGGGUGCUGGAAAUUUGAAUAUAGCAUGACAUCCACAAAUGGGCUUCAGGAAUUAAGAGGGAGCCAAUCAGGACAAGGGCCUCCUGAGCUAAUGUUGUGUAUUGCAGGUACUUCUUUGUGUCUCAAUUUAGGCAAGUGUUGUAUAAAAAAAAUUGUUAAUGAAGCUGAUAUCUCAAUUGUUGUGAGUUGUUCCUAUGAAUACAUGUGCUUGAGCAUUAAAGAAACAAAUGUCUUCAGAUAUGCACUUUCAUGAAUUAUGAGAGAAGAUAUGGACCUCCCACAGCUAGCUAUGGAGAAACAUGCACAGUUUAGACAAAAUGUCAGAGUGCCUAGGAAGACAUGUUGAAGACAUGUUGGGUUUCUUUUUUCCAUAAAAUAAAUUAGUAUACCAUUUCUACAUCUUGGCAAAGGUUGUACUUGAUGAUCUUUUAUGGCCACUGUAGGUUAGUUAUUCACUGUUGUCUCUCCUUUCGUUGGAGAAUGGGCUCCAUGGUGCAAUGGCUGCACUUGUUGGUUUUGAACAAAGUUUUAGUAUUUUUUGCAGUUCAUGGUACUUAUUCAACUAUAAUAGCCCUCAAGACAAGCAUAUAUUCUGAGGUAACUCAUUGUCUACUAAAGUUGAAAAUUUUAAUUUAGUUCAUACUUAUGGUACUUAUUCUGCUAUAAUAGCCCUCAAGACAAGCAUAUGUUUUUGAGGUAACUCACUGUCUACUGGAGUUGAAAAAUUAAUUUAGUUCAUAAUUGAACUGGUUUAUCAUAAAUAAGGUUGUUUAUGUAUAUAAAAUGUCCAGUGGCGCAAAAAGGUGCGUGAUUAUUCAAAGAUCUAAAGUAAAGUAAUCGAUCUGCAUGGUCUUUUGUUCGUCGACGAGAACUCUCUGAAGUUUCAUUCCCAGGAUCUGGUGGCAACAGCUCUGUGGCUCAAUAGUAAGAGGAGGGGCGUUGAGAGAGCAGGAAGUGAAUUGUUGGCUACAAUUGAUAAGGCAUAUCGCUUCAUCAAUGGGGAUUGGGAGCAACAAGAGCAGCGGCAACACAGGCCGGAGAAACAUUGUGAGGAGAGGACUGCACGAGCACCAGAGCACCGCGAGUGGGUUACGAGCGCGCGCGGGGGAGCAGCACGGCCGACAGGGACGCCCCCCUCCAAGAGCGCCGUCAGGUCGUCGUCGGCGUUUUGCCCAACUUUAGUGGCAGGUGACCGGCAGCCGGCCCGGCCCCCUCCAGGAAUCGCAGCGUCGGUCAACGUCGUGCUCUCCCGCGCCAACCCCCUUCCUCGCGCAGUGGAUGGCUGUGGCGGCUCCGACAGGUGCGGUGGCAGGAGGAUGUGAUGGAGCUGGGCGGCAAUGCGUCGGGGACCCGAGACAAGGGCAAGUAAUGUCGUGUUUAACGACAGAUCCACUCAAGUUCACGGUGAUGGUAAAAUAAGGCCCGGUUUGAUUCAGCUUAGAAUUAUUAUAGUCUGGAUUAUUAGGAGUAAGCUGAAACAAACAAGUAGAUUAUUAUGCUAAAUUAUUUAUUAUAAUCUAUAAGCCAGAUUACUAUAAUUCAAUAAUUUCCUCUAGAAGAGCUUUUUCCAGAUUAUUGAGUGGCUAAAGACCCACUACCCUUAAAUGCCUCUAAUAAUCUAGAGAAAGAAACAACUCGUAGCUUAUUUUAUGUUAGCUUAUUAUAAUUCAGCUUAGAGUAAUCUGAUUUAAUAAUCUAGAUUAUAAUAAUCUUAAACUGAAACAAACAUGGGCUAAGUAACGUAGUAAAUUUUGGAUGGUAUUAAAGUACAGUACAAACUUUCGAUGGUAUUAAACAAAACUUAAGAACUUUCGAUGGCAUGGAACCAAUUUUCCCUUGUGUAAAAUUUUGUUGAAAUUUUAUCAAAAUUUUGUUCAAUUCCUGUCAAAAUGUUGCUGAAAUUUCAUCAAAAUUCCAUCAAAUUUAAAAUCAAAAAGAAAUUUCCAAAGUCAUGCAUAAAUUAGGGGCAAAAACACAAUUAAUAAAUAGAGAUGAGAGAAAGUAUAAAUGUUCUUUUGACAGGUAGUUAACACCGUUAACUCCUCCAUCCAAAACAUGGGCAACAAGAUUUUUCGGCUAAAAAAAGUGGGGAAAAACGAAAAGCCUAAAAGAUAGGGGUAAAAUCAAUAUUGAACAUGAAAGUGAGGGAAAAAACAAAAUUGUCCCAUAGCAUUUACAUCCUAACAUGGUUAUUACCACUCUGUUGUAAACAUGGAUGAGAAGAUGAAGUGGAUUGUAAACUAAAUCAUAAUCAUCAUGGAAGAUUCCUAUCUACUCCGUCCAACAAUAUAAGUAUUUGAAGCAUUUAAAUUUUGUUUAGGAAUAUAAGCAUCUCUACACUAUAAAUUAUCCCAUCAAUCUCCUCAUUCCAAAAAUCAGGCGCCAAUAUCCUUUUAAUCUAUACUUAAUAUAAAAAGGAGGAGUUGCCCCCUCCAAUGCUACAGGCCAAAUCAUCCGGAUUAAUCUGAACAGUCCAUCCGCGCGCAAGUUUUCUCCACCGCACGAUUUCACAGCCGAGGAUUCCACGCGCGAAGAUUUCGCUACUCCUCCACCCGUGGCCGCGAAGACUGCGCUUCUCCUCGCUUGCUCGCUCCUCCUCCCCGCAUCCUCGCAGGAGCUCCUCCCCGCUGCCGCCGCUCCUCCAUGUCCUCGCCGGGGCCGCCACCGGGUCCUGCUUCUUCCCCACCGCCGCGGCCGUCUUCCUCGCUCGCUCCUCCUCCUCCUCCCCGCUGCCUCGACUGACUUCAAUGGACACGAGUAGCGGCCGAAUCGAUUCACCCUCUCUGCGGCGGUGCCCUGGUCGCGUCACCUACUGUAUCCGAUCGUGAGGGCCUUGGUUGCCUCCCUUGCCAUGUCUCAUCGGGUGGUUCGAUUUGGGCAUCGCUCCGAGCGUGGAGGGCCGAUUAGAGCACUGCUGCUGCGUGGCUGCCCAGCGUGCAGUCAUGCCUCGCCGUACCCAUUACCCAUCACUCUGUCUCUACCGCCUGUUUUCAUGCUCCUCCACUGCAACCUGAUUUUCCUUAUGUGAUGGAUAACAAUGCAGAUCGUGCUCCACAUCAGCAGCUUCGUCAAAGAACAUGUACUUGUGAGCAUCAGUUCCAGGACAUGCUUACCAUGUGUUUGUGAAAAUGCCUUCAAACAAUUUGUUCCAUCUGUUAUUUUAAUCCUUGUGCAUAUUUUGGUAGGAACACCCAUUAUAUGCAACACAAAAUAUAUUCUUGAUAGGCCAGACAUUCAUCGUGAUGGCUAAUUAUAUGCAACCUAAAUAUAUUUCAGCCAGCAAGGAUUUGGAGAGCAAGCAUAUAUAAUUUUGUUAUAGCUGCUUAUGUCCAUCAACAUAUCUUUAUGAAUUAUGAUGCCAAAUUUCUAUAUGUUUUUCAUUAUACUGAUAUCUUCUUCAUGUUUAUCGUACUAAGGUUGUUUCCAAGUUUAUGUAAGUGUUUCAUAACCCUGAUUCUGCAAUGUGACCCACCGUGUACUUAUUAGAAGAUCAAAGUAACUCAGUUUAUUUACUCCAGUGCAUUGUUUCUUCAGGUAGUAGUCGAUUUCAACUUUUUAAUAAUUCCACAAACAGGGAUCAUUUCAUUUGCUCCGUACAGAGAGUUACUGAACAAUACAUCAUAUGUUCUGUUCCAUCAUGAAUAUGUGCAGAUAUGUAUUCAAGACAACCUACUUCUGAAUUCUGAUGUUAAGUUGUUGACAGCAAUUGAGAGGUAUUUAAAGAAUAUGAUUUGUGACAAAUUCAUUUUAGUGAAGAUCAGCAGAUCAGCAAUGCUCUUAAUCUGAGGUACAAAUGCACACCUACUUAUUCCAGUAUUCUCUGUUGCAAAUAAUGGGGGUGCUUGUGGUUAAAUUCUUUUGUUUAAUCAGUAGAGGUUAGCAUGCAUUGUUAUAGACCCUUUGUAGAAUAGUAGUUAUGUUUAGUUGUUGCACUUACGUGCCAUAUUCAUCAUUUUAAUGGAAUUAUUAUGUUUAGUUGUUGCAAUUACCUGUUAUGAUGCCACUGCUCGGUAAUUAAAUUUAUACAUAGUUCAUAUUUUGUUGAAUUAGAUUCUAGACUAUGAAAUAUUCCAUGUUUUGGGCGGUAAACCUUCAUUAUAAAUUGAUGGAUCCUCUAAAAGGUUGAUGAGAAUCAUCAAACCUUCAAAGUACCUCAUAAUUUCUUUUAUUCUCACAGAUCAUAUUCAUUCCGGAGUAACAUUUUUGAUAUAUUCAGUCUGGUUGCACUGAAUAUUGAACGUUGCUUCCAUUAUUUGAUCUAAUGACUCAGAUUGUAGUUGGGUCCUCACCCUCUAAUCUCUCCUGAAAAAUCAAUUUGAUUCUCCUUUACCGAACGGCAGCAACGGCUUCUGUUGAUCCAGGUAGUACUAUUCCAGUCAAUUGAGAAUUUUUUGAAGAUCGCAUGAAAAUGUGAUAUUGCAAGGGAAUGUACAUAUUUGAGUUUGUAUGAUGCAUUUUAUGUGUGCAAGCUCAUAUAUAAUCACUACGGUCGUUGUUAUUUUUGUUUCAUGUGUUCCAUAGUGGUGCCUCUGAGCCCUAUAUUGUGAUUGAUUUGUCUCACCAUAUCGACUUUCCUUGAUCCUUUGGUGAGCUACCAUCUGCAUUAUGGCAAUGCAUUUGCAACUGAGGCUACUCGUCACUGUGAUUGGCCGCUGGAUAUAUAUAUACCUGCAAUAGGUGCUGUCGAUCGAACCGACACAACUUGGAGACGACGAGCCUCACGGAUGAACGGCGACGAACCUCGCGGACGAGUCGACGACCAGCGGCAUAACGGCGUAGGUAACAAUGAAGCACGAGGCCGGCAACAAACCAUCAGCUGGUCUUAUAUACAUAGAAAAAUGGAAAGUGAAAACCAUAUACAUAGAAAUAAAUCAAUUCAACAUGAUAGAGAAACGGUGUGAGCAGGUGCUAAAAGGAAAGUACUCAGUCAUAUAGAAAUAAAUUACCAUGCAAUCAAAAGGAAAUUAUUGCAUACAUGUUUGCUUAUAUGGAAAGGAAAUUAGUGCAUGCAUGCAAAGAUCUUAUAUGGAAA